GUAGAAGUUACGAUAGAUUGGCUCUCAUAUUGAGAGUCAUAUUGAUAGGAGGUGGUUGAUGUUAUCUUUAGGUUGGCCGCGAGCAUUUUUGGUAAAUCUCAUCCGUAGUUGCUUCAGAAAAGAGGACUUGUUGAUUCUAGAGAUUAGUAGUUUAAAAGGGUUUGUGCCUUUGUUUCUGCUUUUAGUUGUUGGGUUCGACCUCUUUCGAUUUAGGUUUACAAAUCUCUGUUUUGUGUUUUCAUUAAUUACGUUUUCCUUCGGCUUUGACUCCGGAAACAUUUAUGUCGUUCGCCGGUUUUAGUUUUCCUUUUUUGGGGGUUGUAUUCUACCUUGGUUGCACAACAAGUUUAUCAAUAAAAUUUCAUAUGAAA
rnacentral:sRNA from 1 species